rnacentral:rRNA from 1 species
UACGUAGGGUGCAAGCGUUAAUCGGAAUUACUGGGCGUAAAGCGCGCGUAGGCGGCUACUUAAGUCGGAUGUGAAAGCCCCUGGCUCAACUGGGGAAGUGCACCCGAAACUGAGUAGCUAGAGUACGAAAGAGGGUCGCGGAAUUCCCGGUGUAGAGGUGAAAUUCGUAGAUAUUCGGAGGAACACCAGUGGCGAAGGCGGCUCACUGGUCCGGUACUGACGCUGAGGUGCGAAAGCGUGGGGAGCAAACAGG